UUAUGAUGAUAGCUAUCUUCCUACAAUUCAGCACCAUAGUGAUGCAUCGUUUCAGUGUCAGGAAUGAUGCUGAACGCUGUAAUCGUACUGCCUUAUAUAACCACGUACGGAGUCAUUUCAGCAUCACAUUUUAUGCUGUCCUGGUGGUGUCCUGAUGACUUCAGACCUAUAUAACCUUAGUCCACCAGGAGACCUGUGUCCUGCUGUAAUGAUCUGUUAUAGCCCAAG